rnacentral:lncRNA from 1 species
CAGAAAGAGCACCAGUGCCACCACCUGGAUGCAGGGAGAAUGAGGCAACACAUAAAAGAAAAGUCUACCUGUCCAAGGGAAUGAGAAAAGGAACCAACUAAGUUUUCUAAAUUAAGGAUAAAUCUAAUCCCUGAUGCUGCAUUAUGGCCAGAAAACCAAUGAACUUGGUGACAGUGAGAGAUAAAAGCGAGACAGAUAUGUGACACGUAGUAACGUGGGGAAACAUUUUCCCUUGCGACAGGAAGAACAGAAAAUCUUACCUCCUUGAAUCUUGAGAGUCUUUACCCAUGCCAAGAGGAAAAUUGACAAACCAAACUAAGUAGCAGUAAUUCAUCCUACUACCAACAGCCUGUACUUGUGACGUCUCCAGUGGAGAGCAGAUGCCCAGGAAGGAGCUCUACCCAGCAAGCUGAGGGUUCAAGAAUGCUUGUGUGGCUUUGAGAAAAUAAACCCCCAUCUGUAUUAGAAAUGCUUUGUAUUUCUCCAACACCGUUGUCCCAAAGGCUGAAUAAACACUCCUGUAUCCUCAGAGCACCCUGUGAAGUCCCUGGUGUGGUCUAGGAGGGUGUGGAAUUGAGUGGUGAUAGCCCAAGAUUAGCUCUCACCAGCAUUUAGGGAUU